CCCAGACCCUGCCUCCCCGGCGCCCCCCGGAUGCCCUUGGCUGGGUGUCCGGUCUUUCAGGGGUCCGGAGCGUUUACUUUGAAAAAAUUAGAGUGUUCAAAGCGGGCCGCCAAACUCGCCUGAAUACCUGAGCUAGGAAUAAUGGAAUAGGACUCCGGUUCUAUUUUGUGGGUUUUCGGAACCAGGGCCAUGAUUAAGAGGGACGCGCGGGGGCAUUCGUAUU
rnacentral:rRNA from 1 species